rnacentral:rRNA from 1 species
AACUCUUGGCAAUGGAUCUCUUGGUUCUCGCAUCGAUGAAGAGCGUAGCAAAGUGCGAUAAUUAUUGCGACUUGCAUUCAUAGUGAAUCAUCGAGUUCUUGAACGCAUCUUGCGCCUAG